AGAGUUUGAUCCUGGCUCAGAACGUACGCUGGCGGCACGCCUAACACAUGCAAGUCGAACGAAGUAGCAAUACUUAGUGGCAGACGGGUGAGUAACAUGUAGGUAUCUGCCCUUUGGCCUGGAAUAACACGAGGAAACUUGUGCUAAUACCGGAUAAGUCUUUACGGAGAAAGCUUUAUGCACCAUUGGAUGAGCCUGCACUUGAUUAGUUUGUUGGUGGGGUAAUGGCCUACCAAGACUGUGAUCAAUAGCUGAUUUGAGAGGAUGAUCAGCCACAUUGGGACUGAGACACGGCCCAAACUCCUACGGGAGGCAGCAGUGGGGAAUCUUGCACAAUGGAGGAAACUCUGAUGCAGCGAUGCCGCGUGAGUGAAGAAGGCCCUUGGGUUGUAAAGCUCUUUCGUCGGGGAAGAAAAUGACUGUACCCGAAUAAGAAG
rnacentral:rRNA from 1 species